GGAUGAACGCUGGCGGCGUGCCUAAUACAUGCAAGUCGAGCGAACAGAUGAGGAGCUUGCUCCUUUGACGUUAGCGGCGGACGGGUGAGUAACACGUGGGUAACCUACCUAUAAGACUGGGAUAACUUCGGGAAACCGGAGCUAAUACCGGAUAAUAUUUCGGACCGCAUGGUUCGAUAGUGAAAGAUGGUUUUGCUAUCACUUAUAGAUGGACCCGCGCCGUAUUAGCUAGUUGGUAAGGUAACGGCUUACCAAGGCGACGAUACGUAGCCGACCUGAGAGGGUGAUCGGCCACACUGGAACUGAGACACGGUCCAGACUCCUACGGGAGGCAGCAGUAGGGAAUCUUCCGCAAUGGGCGAAAGCCUGACGGAGCAACGCCGCGUGAGUGAUGAAGGUCUUCGGAUCGUAAAACUCUGUUAUUAGGGAAGAACAUACGUGUAAGUAACUGUGCACGUCUUGACGGUACCUAAUCAGAAAGCCACGGUUAACUACGUGCCAGCAGCCGCGGUAAUACGUAGGUGGCAAGCGUUAUCCGGAAUUAUUGGGCGUAAAGCGCGCGUAGGCGGUUUUUUAAGUCUGAUGUGAAAGCCCGCGGCUCAACCGUGGAGGGUCAUUGGAAACUGGAAAACUUGAGUGCAGAAGAGGAAAGUGGAAUUCCAUGUGUAGCGGUGAAAUGCGCAGAGAUAUGGAGGAACACCAGUGGCGAAGGCGACUUUCUGGUCUGUAACUGACGCUGAUGUGCGAAAGCGUGGGGAUCAAACAGGAUUAGAUACCCUGGUAGUCCACGCCGUAAACGAUGAGUGCUAAGUGUUAGGGGGUUUCCGCCCCUUAGUGCUGCAGCUAACGCAUUAAGCACUCCGCCUGGGGAGUACGACCGCAAGGUUGAGACUCAAAGGAAUUGACGGGGACCCGCACAAGCGGUGGAGCAUGUGGUUUAAUUCGAAGCAACGCGAAGAACCUUACCAAAUCUUGACAUCCUUUGACAACUCUAGAGAUAGAGCCUUCCCCUUCGGGGGACAAAGUGGCAGGUGGUGCAUGGUUGUCGUCAGCUCGUGUCGUGAGAUGUUGGGUUAAGUCCCGCAACGAGCGCAACCCUUAAGCUUAGUUGCCAUCAUUAAGUUGGGCACUCUAAGUUGACUGCCGGUGACAAACCGGAGGAAGGUGGGGAUGACGUCAAAUCAUCAUGCCCCUUAUGAUUUGGGCUACACACGUGCUACAAUGGACAAUACAAAGGGCAGCGAAACCGCGAGGUCAAGCAAAUCCCAUAAAGUUGUUCUCAGUUCGGAUUGUAGUCUGCAACUCGACUACAUGAAGCUGGAAUCGCUAGUAAUCGUAGAUCAGCAUGCUACGGUGAAUACGUUCCCGGGUCUUG
rnacentral:rRNA from 1 species